AUCCGGCUGAUCAGUCCCGAAUAGGACGAAACACGCAUCCUGGAU
rfam:Schistosoma mansoni strain Puerto Rico chromosome 5, complete genome